rnacentral:rRNA from 2 species
AUGCAUGUCUAAGUGCAAAUCCUUGUAUGGUGAAACCGCGAAUGGCUCAUUAAAUCAGUUAUGGUUCCUUAGAUCGUGUCCUACAUGGAUAACUGUGGAAAUUCUAGAGCUAAUACAUGCGAAAUUUAACUACGACCUUCGGGGAGUAGUGCUUUUAUUAGACCAAAACCAAUCGGAUGGCUUCGGCUGUCCGUACUGGUGGUGACUCUGGAUAACUUUGUGCUGAUCGCAUGGCCAUGUGCCGGCGACGUAUCUUUCAAAUGUCUGCCCUAUCAACUGUAGAUGGUACGUGAUGUGCCUACCAUUGUGAUAACGGGUAACGGGGAAUCAGGGUUCGGUUCCGGAGAGGGAGCAUGAGAAAUGGCUACCACAUCCAAGGAAGGCAGCAGGCGCGCAAAUUACCCACUCCCGGCACGGGGAGGUAGUGACGAAAAAUAACAAUGCGGGACCCUACGGGUACCGUAAUUGGAAUGAGUACACUUUAAAUCCUUUAACGAGGAACAAUUGGAGGGCAAGUCUGGUGCCAGCAGCCGCGGUAAUUCCAGCUCCAAUAGCGUAUACUAGUUGCUGCGCUUAAAAAGCUCGUAGUUGGAUCUCGGGCUCGGGCUGGUGGUCCGCUAAGAAGCGGUACUGCCUGUCCUGACCUACUUGCCGGUUUGUCCGGAUGCUCUUCACUGAGUGCCCGGUUCAGGCCGGUACGUUUACUUUGAAGAAAAUAGAGUGUUCAAAGCAGGCCUAUGCCUGAAUAAUGCAGCAUGGAAUAAUGGAAUAGGACCUCGGUUCUAUUUUGUUGGUUUUCGGAACUCGAGGUAAUGAUUAAGAGGGACAGACGGGGGCAUUCGUAUUCCGCCGUUAGAGGUGAAAUUCUUGGAUCGGCGGAGGACGAACAACUGCGAAAGCAUUUGCCAAGAAUGUUUUCAUUAAUCAAGAACGAAAGUCAGAGGUUCGAAGGCGAUCAGAUACCGCCCUAGUUCUGACCAUAAACGAUGCCAACUAGCGAUCCGCCAACGUUUUCAAAAUGACUCGGCGGGCAGCUUCCGGGAAACCAAAGUCUUUGGGUUCCGGGGGAAGUAUGGUUGCAAAGCUGAAACUUAAAGGAAUUGACGGAAGGGCACCACCAGGAGUGGAGCCUGCGGCUUAAUUUGACUCAACACGGGGAAACUCACCCGGCCCGGACACCGUAAGGAUUGACAGAUUGAGAGCUCUUUCUUGAUUCGGUGGGUGGUGGUGCAUGGCCGUUCUUAGUUGGUGGAGCGAUUUGUCUGGUUAAUUCCGAUAACGAACGAGACUCUAGCCUGCUAAAUAGACCACUCGU